rnacentral:rRNA from 1 species
UACGUAGGGGGCAAGCGUUGUCCGGAUUUAUUGGGCGUAAAGAGCGUGUAGGCGGUUUGGUAGGUCCGUUGUGAAAACUCGAGGCUCAACCUCGAGACGCCGGCGGAAACCAUCAGGCUAGAGUCCGGAAGAGGAGAGUGGAAUUCCUGGUGUAGCGGUGAAAUGCGUAGAUAUCGUAAGGAAGACCAGUGGCGAAGGCGGGUCUCUGGACAGUUCCUGACGCUGAGGCACGAAGGCCAGGGGAGCAAACGGG